rnacentral:rRNA from 1 species
ACGAGUACUUGUACUUGGUGGCGACCGGCGCACGGGGUGCGUAACGCGUAUGCAACCUACCUUAUACUGAGGGAUAGCCCAGAGAAAUUUGGAUUAAAUACCUCAUAGUAUCAUUUUGAAGGCAUCUGAGAAAUUGAUUAAAGAUUUAUCGGUAUAAGAUGGGCAUGCGUAAGAUUAGUUAGUUGGUGAGGUAACGGCUCACCAAGACUUCGAUCUUUAGGGGGUUUCUGAGAGGAUGAUCCCCCACACUGGUACUGAGAUACGGACCAGACUUC